GAAGAUGGCGCUCGCCACCACAGACUGAUAAAACAUCUGCAGCAUCUUAUUGCAGACGUGAAAGGACCUGAGCCUCCUUAAGAAGUAAAGCCGGCUCUGCCCCUUCUUGUAAAUGGCGUCUGUGUUGGUGGACCAGUCCAGCUUAUUCCAGUUCCAGUGUA